GACGAACGCUGGCGGCGUGCUUAACACAUGCAAGUCGAACGAUGAACCCGGAGCUUGCUCUGGGGGAUUAGUGGCGAACGGGUGAGUAACACGUGAGUAACCUGCCCUGGACUCUGGGAUAAGCGUUGGAAACGACGUCUAAUACCGGAUAGGACCUUGGAUCGCAUGAUCUGGGGUGGAAAGUUUUUUCGGUCUGGGAUGGACUCGCGGCCUAUCAGCUUGUUGGUGAGGUAAUGGCUCACCAAGGCGUCGACGGGUAGCCGGCCUGAGAGGGUGACCGGCCACGCUGGGACUGAGACACGGCCCAGACUCCUACGGGAGGCAGCAGUGGGGAAUAUUGCACAAUGGGCGAAAGCCUGAUGCAGCAACGCCGCGUGCGGGAUGACGGCCGUCGGGUUGUAAACCGCUUUUAGUAGGGAAGAAGGGCUUCGGCUUGACGGUACCUGCAGAAAAAGGACCGGCUAACUACGUG
rnacentral:rRNA from 1 species